rnacentral:lncRNA from 10 species
AUUUUUUUUGUGGUCACACAGCCAGUGUGGUAUGGAACUACAACUGCAUUUCAUUUUGUCUGACCUUUGGUCCUGGGCCUUUUCAUACUACUUCUCAUUGCUGCCUCUAGCCAAUGCCAGUUUGGGAAGGAGGCAUCCAGGUGCCUGAGCAGCAACAUGCACUUGCAGGGAAGAGGAUAGAUGCAGAAUACACUGGAGGGCUGAAGACACAAGGAACAAUGGCAAAAACUCUACAGAGAGUGUGACAAACUUUGAUAUGGUCCUGGAAUAAAGCAACACCAGGGAUUUACUACAGUGAACAGGGCAAUGGAGGAACUGUAAGAACAAGUAUAUUAGAUGACGGGGCCAGGUGCGGUGGCGUGCGCCUGUAAUCCCAGCACUUUGGGAGGCUGAGGCAGGUCGAUCACCUGAGGUCAGGAGUUCGAGACCAGCCUGGCCAACAUGGUGAAACCCUGUCUCUACUAAAAGUACAAAAAUUAGCUGGCAUGGUGGUGCACGCCUGUAAUCCCAGCUACUCGGGAGGCUGAGGCAGAAGAAUCUCUUGAAUCUGGGAGGCAGAGGUUACAGUGAUCCGAGAUUGCGCCACUAUACUCCAGCCUGGGCGACAAAGCAAGACUCCAUCUCAAAAAACAACAACAACAACAACAACAACAACAACAAAAAAAAAAGACGGAGUCUGAGAUUUGAGAUCCUCAUUUUACAAAACGCAGUCUCUAGUUGUGAGUUGAGGUAAGAAGAUUCAUACCCAGAGAAAGGCUCUGGGAAGAACAAAGUAGCAUGUCAGAGCAUAUCAGAACUUCAGCAGUUUAAGGUUAGGACAAGGCCAACUCCAAAUCCAGGAUGCAACUCAGAUGUCUAGUAUGGAAAAUUUCUAUACCCACAUUUUAUCUGAUAGAUAAAGAUUGAUACUUGGAAACAAGAUGAAUAAUCAGGAUUUGUCUCUUUUAUAUGGGUUACCAUGAAUUCAGCAAUCUUCCCAUACUAGUCUGUAGGUGUAGUUGAG